rnacentral:rRNA from 1 species
AAUGAACGCUGGCGGCAUGCCUAACACAUGCAAGUCGAACGAGACCUUCGGGUCUAGUGGCGCACGGGUGCGUAACGCGUGGGAAUCUGCCCUUGGGUUCGGAAUAACAGUUAGAAAUGACUGCUAAUACCGGAUGAUGUCGAAAGACCAAAGAUUUAUCGCCCGAGGAUGAGCCCGCGUAGGAUUAGCUAGUUGGUGAGGUAAAGGCUCACCAAGGCGACGAUCCUUAGCUGGUCUGAGAGGAUGAUCAGCCACACUGGGACUGAGACACGGCCCAGACUCCUACGGGAGGCAGCAGUGGGGAAUAUUGGACAAUGGGCGAAAGCCUGAUCCAGCAAUGCCGCGUGAGUGAUGAAGGCCUUAGGGUUGUAAAGCUCUUUUACCCGGGAUGAUAAUGACAGUACCGGGAGAAUAAGCUCCGGCUAACUUCGUGCCAGCCGCCGCGGUAAAAC